GGUCUGGUGGUCUAGUGGUAUGAUUCGCGCUUAGGGAGAACCUACAGCAUCGCUUGCGCGAGGUCCCGGGUUCAAUCCCCGGCCAGACCC
rnacentral:tRNA from 1 species